rnacentral:rRNA from 1 species
UGCGGCCCUUGGGUACUAUUUCCAAGGGCUACGCCUGUCUGA